UCCUGUUUUGGCAAUAACUUAGUCACUUAGAAGACAAACUGCAUAUAGAGCUUUCAGACCUAUAAAUAUUAUUCAGAAGUCAAUUGCAGUGUUGUGGUAUACUUUUUACAUCCAUUAAUACAUCAUAGCAUGUUACUUGAAAUUCCAUCUCAUCUCCCUUUAUCUGUACAAUGAAACUGAUAAUCAUUAAAUGUGGUCAUUCUUUUGCAAAUGAAUCACAUGUUUCAUUUAGUCCUUUUGUCAGAUAUGAUUCUAAUUGAAUCUUGACUUGUUUUCUGUGGGAUGUGUAAUACCGAACCCUAUGACCAGAUCACGAUGAUAUGAAAAAAGGAUAAUAUCUUUAGUAGGGAUAGGAUCUUUCUGAGUAUUUGAAGAGGUUCACGUGCCUUGUCCAUUGCCACAGGUUCCAGAAGAAGAGAAAAACCUUGGUCCUCAAGAUCGCUUGAUUCAUGUCUAUCACUUCACAAAAGAUGCAUCUCAAAAUCAGAUGGUUCAGAAUUUUGGGAACCCUUUUUCUUGAUCAUCCAUGAAGGUGAGACUUGAGCCGAGGUUAAAGUCUGUAUCCAGAAGAAGUUGCAGGUUCCAGACGAGGAAUUCUCCAAGGGUCUAAUGCAACCUACACACUUCGGUUUUGGUGGUCAACGUAUGGUAGGUAAAAACUACUAGGAGUGCGUGCUGACCAUGUGACCAGCUCUAAGGUCAGGUGCUUCUUGCAAGAUUGAAGGGUGAGGAGGUUGUUAUUAAAGUACAAAGACCUGGUCUCAAGGAUCUUUUUGACAUUGAUCUGAAGAACCUUAGGGGAACUCUGAGGAAGGAAGCAAAGAUAUUGGGUACAAACGACAAAGAUCUUUACUUGUCAUUUCAGCGGUUGCUUAGCUGUAGCAUGCCUUACAACUAUUUGAAAUCAAGUUUCCAUUUCUGCUUGUGGAUAGGACCUGGGCAGAGAUGCUCAUAUUGCCUCAUCAGUCGCAAUGGUGGGGUCACAUUGACGACUUCACUAUUGUCAUCAUUGAGUGAUGAGCCCCAACCAGAAGGAGAUUUUCUGUCUACAAUCGAAGCCACAGGUUCCAUGGUGAGUGUCCAGAAGCGUCCUUAAAGAAUGUCGAUAAUUGGAGUUAGUUUUCAACUAUAGUAGUGAAUUUCAUUAAUUAAGGGAAACUCUCAUACCCAAUAUUGUCACCAAGAUAUCAUCUUUUCUUUGAUUUUACCUAAUUCUUGUUUAAUUUAUGAUCAAAGAUAUUCUAGAUAAUGAAAUCAUCUUUUGUGGGUUAUCCAACUUGACUGCGAUUGCUUACAUGUGCAUAUCUUUCUUAGAAAUUUCAAGCGUCCAUAUUCAUGGAGCCCUUCUAGAUUUUGUCACCGCUGCCUACUCCUCUUGGCAUCUUUAUUGUCAUUAUGUUCCUGUUUUCUCCAUUGGCGUAGUCCUCCUCCCCUUGUUAGUUCCCCUUGGACAGGCCUAUCCAUGCAAGAUCCAAGCCAUCUAGAAUCACAAGCCACUUGAUGUAGCAUGGCUUGAAAUUGAUCUUAAAAUCUAAUUUAUGGCCACCAAUUUAGGCCAUUUUUAGCAACUUCAAGAUAAGUUGAUCUUAUUUUAGUUAUGGGUUAUCAAAGAUUUUAAUCAUUUCAAUCUCUAAUGCAUGAUUACUGUUUAAAAAAAUGACAUGAGCUCAUUUCGAGUGGCAAUCAAACAGGGCCAAACGAUUUUGUAUUCAAAGUUGUGUUUGCAUCGGA